rnacentral:rRNA from 1 species
AACGAACGCUGGCGGCAUGCCUAACACAUGCAAGUCGAACGAGACCUUCGGGUCUAGUGGCGCACGGGUGCGUAACGCGUGGGAACCUGCCCUUAGGUUCGGAAUAACUCCCCGAAAGGGGUGCUAAUACCGGAUAAUGUCUUCGGACCAAAGAUUUAUCGCCUUUGGAUGGGCCCGCGUUGGAUUAGCUAGUUGGUAGGGUAAAAGCCUACCAAGGCGACGAUCCAUAGCUGGUUUGAGAGGAUGAUCAGCCACACUGGGACUGAGACACGGCCCAGACUCCUACGGGAGGCAGCAGUAGGGAAUAUUGGACAAUGGGCGAAAGCCUGAUCCAGCAAUGCCGCGUGAGUGAUGAAGGCCUUAGGGUUGUAAAGCUCUUUUACCCGAGAUGAUAAUGACAGUACCGGGAGAAUAAGCUCCGGCUAACUCCGUG